GGGGUUGUGGCUCAGUGGUAAAGUGCUUGCCAAGAAUGCAUGAGGCACUGGGUUCGAUCUUCAGCACCACA
rnacentral:tRNA from 1 species